rnacentral:rRNA from 1 species
AACGGUGAACACGGAGCUUGCUCUGUGGGAUCAGUGGCGAACGGGUGAGUAACACGUGAGCAACCUGCCCCUGACUCUGGGAUAAGCGCUGGAAACGGCGUCUAAUACUGGAUAUGUGACGUGAUCGCAUGGUCUGCGUCUGGAAAGAAUUUCGGUUGGGGAUGGGCUCGCGGCCUAUCAGCUUGUUGGUGAGGUAAUGGCUCACCAAGGCGUCGACGGGUAGCCGGCCUGAGAGGGUGACCGGCCACACUGGGACUGAGACACGGCCCAGACUCCUACGGGAGGCAGCAGUGGGGAAUAUUGCACAAUGGGCGCAAGCCUGAUGCAGCAACGCCGCGUGAGGGAUGACGGCCUUCGGGUUGUAAACCUCUUUUAGCAGGGAAGAAGCGAAAGUGACGGUACCUGCAGAAAAAGCGCCGGCUAACUACGUGCCAGCAGCCGCGGUAAUACGUAGGGCGCAAGCGUUAUCCGGAAUUAUUGGGCGUAAAGAGCUCGUAGGCGGUUUGUCGCGUCUGCUGUGAAAUCCGGAGGCUCAACCUCCGGCCUGCAGUGGGUACGGGCAGACUAGAGUGCGGUAGGGGAGAUUGGAAUUCCUGGUGUAGCGGUGGAAUGCGCAGAUAUCAGGAGGAACACCGAUGGCGAAGGCAGAUCUCUGGGCCGUAACUGACGCUGAGGAGCGAAAGGGUGGGGA